CGUGCCAGCAGCCGCGGUAAUACAGAGGGUGCAAGCGUUGUUCGGAAUUACUGGGCGUAAAGCGUGCGUAGUCGGUAUUGAGAGUCGCGGGUGAAAUCCCAGGGCUUAACCCUGGAACUGCCUGCGAGACCUCAGUACUAGAGUGUGAGAGGGGAUAGUGGAAUACCCAGUGUAGCGGUGAAAUGCGUAGAGAUUGGGUGGAACACCGGUGGCGAAGGCGGCUAUCUGGCUCACAACUGACGAUCAGGCACGAAAGCGUGGGGAGCAAACAGGAUUAGAUACCCUGGUAGUCCACGCCGUAAACGAUG
rnacentral:rRNA from 1 species